GAACAAUGGGUUUAGUCUUUCAGAGCUUAUUGGAUGUCCAAGUGUCAACUCAAUUUGUGUUCUGAAUUUCAUUUUUUGUUCAUUUCAGAAAAGUCCUACCAUUGGGAAGGAUGAAAAACCAUAAAAAUUCAAAUUAUGUUGCGGAAAAAGUAUUCACAAUUUGGCCAGCUGCAUAAUGGUGCCUUCAUACGACAUGUAUUCUAUUGUUCCUGUGAGGCUGAUAAGUACCCACUAAUUGGAAUUUGCUAAUCAGUUGAUCUUGUUUAUUGAAUAAAAAUAGGAUGCCGAGGAUGUUAGACCCAAAUUAUGUAUACUCUUUCAGUCUCUUAAAUCACCAAAUGGCAGGUCUUACAUCUUCACUGAAUAUUGACUGUGCUUUGUUCGUUGACUUGCGUGAAAAUCCUGACGCUGUGAGAAACUUUUUGGAAUUGAUCUUGUCAGCAGGGUGCAUUGUGCAGAAAGUGUUGAAGAAAGCUCGGAGGCAGAGUAUUUGGGUUUAAGUCAAAAAACAGUAUUCUGGUGAUAUUAUAGCAGCAGCUGAAUCUAUCUAUGAUUUGCAGACGAAAUUGGUUAAGCAAGCGGAGUCACGUGAUACUUCUGGUGGAGUUCUAUCUUCUUACCCAUUGAUUGAUCUUUCUUUCCCUGUAUUUUAAUUCCUCUUUCAGUUGAGACAAACUAGGUCACCCAUCCGUUUAUGAACGUCAACAUAAAACAUUGUAUG